GACGAACGCUGGCGGCGUGCUUAACACAUGCAAGUCGAACGAAGAGCGAUGGAAGCUUGCUUCUAUCAAUCUUAGUGGCGAACGGGUGAGUAACGCGUAAUCAACCUGCCCUUCAGAGGGGGACAACAGUUGGAAACGACUGCUAAUACCGCAUACGAUCUAAUCUCGGCAUCGAGGAUAGAUGAAAGGUGGCCUCUACAUGUAAGCUAUCACUGAAGGAGGGGAUUGCGUCUGAUUAGCUAGUUGGCGGGGUAACGGCCCACCAAGGCGAUGAUCAGUAGCCGGUCUGAGAGGAUGAACGGCCACAUUGAGACUGAGACACGGCCCAGACUCCUACGGGAGGCAGCAGUGGGGAAUCUUCCGCAAUAGACGAAAGUCUGACGGAGCAACGCCGCGUGAGUGAUGACGGCCUUCGGGUUGUAAAGCUCUGUUAAUCGGGACGAAAGGCCUUCUUGCGAAUAGUGAGAAGGAUUGACGGUACCGGAAUAGAAAGCCACGGCUAACUACGUG
rnacentral:rRNA from 1 species